rnacentral:rRNA from 1 species
UCAGGGGUGUAAGCAGGGUAACCUGCUCAGCUGACUGAUACUAAUAGGUCGAGGGCUUGACCAAA